rnacentral:lncRNA from 1 species
UCUAUAAUCUUUCUAGUUGUCGAUCACAUACCAGAGCUCUUAUCCAUUUCCAUCCAAAUCAAAGUAGAAGCUGUUGCUUGAAGAAGUUAUGCCUUUGUCCUCCUAAUCAGAAACACCAUCUCAAUAUUUGGCAGUUCUUGCUUUUGACUCCUCUACUUAACUAUUAUCUUGUGUUGUCGGCUGCGGUGUGUUUCCCUUAAAACCAAAGAGCAUGAGACCAAUUUUUGUGGGUGUUGUGGGGAUCCAACCUCAAUAUUUGUAUUCCAUCUUAUAUAGCAUAUUGCUGUAAAGGUGCCAGCUGAUCCUUAAAGGGAUCUUUGUUUUGUGCCUGUAAGAUAAUGUGUGGCUUAUGAGAGUGCCUCUGCAUUCUGUAGCUAUUUCCUGACUGGGAGUUGCUUGACAUAGACAAGAAGUUAAGCUUAGUAUCUGCCUUUAUCCCUCUAACUAGAAACACCAUCUCAGUAUUUGGCAAUUUUUACUUCUGACUCAUUUACUUAACUAUUACUUUGUGUUGCCUGCUGCAGCUUACUUCCCUCAAAACCAAAGAGUGUGAAGCCAUUGUGGGGAUCCCAAAAUUCAAUAUUUGUAUUCCAUCUUCUAUAGAUAUGUAAUUCUAUAUUUGAAAGACUACCAAGCUGAUCGUUCAAGGGAUCUCCGUUUUGUACAUGUAAGAGAAUGUUUGGCUUUAUGAGAGUGCCUCCGCAGUCUGCACUUAUUUCCUGACUGGUAUGUGCCUGUAUUAAUUAUCUAGAACUCUGGUGAUUUACUUAUUAUACAUUGUUGUCAUUUUUUUAAACAUCUGACUCAACUAGUAAGAUAUGACUAUUUUAAGAAAGUCGUGCAAUUCAGAUGGCAUAUUAAUCAAUACUUAGUACUAUAUUCUACACCAAAAGUUUGCACUUGGUUACAAGUUUCAUUUUAAAACAAAGAAAAUUGAUUCAACCCAAUUGCUUAGUUCAUUAUAGAACCCUAUUUGUUGGUUUGACACUGUCAAGAAGGCUGCAGAGUUGGAGAUCUCCACUUGUUAGGAUGAACUUUCAAAUUCUCACUUCUGUAGGUUAAACAAAUAAGUACUAAAUAUGAUGGCUUAUCGUUUAUCAUAAAUUUGCUCGCACUUUGAAUGACAGUAAUGAUGAUUGAUUCCUGAAGGGGGUAUAUAUCUUCAUAUUCUUCUUCCUUGUCAGUGUAUGAUUUUUGUUUUUUCUAAACUAUAGGCUGCCUUCAAAAGUUCAAAUGUAUAUACCAUGACAGAAACGACUAUUGAUUCAUGAAGGAUGUAAAUAUUUCAUAUUAUCCUUUUGUGUCAGUAUAUAACUUUUGUGUUCUAUAUAAUAGGCUGCCCUUGAAGAUUCAAAUGUAUCUGCAGUAUGAUACUGAUGUUGCUAGAAAAUGAAAAUGUAUCUUUUCAGUCAUGAAGAGUUGUCAGAAAUUCCUUUAAACUUCUCAGAUAAAAGGAGAAUCAAUCCAGCUAAGGACCCUGGCUUAUCUUGGUUGAUGAAAGUAGAUGCUUGCAGCUCUAAAAGACUGAAAUGUGGCUCCAGGAAUUGGGAGCUUUAUAAAAAACAGAAAUAGGCCAGAGGUGAAAUGAUCAAAUGGAUUGACUAAAGAUGCGCCCACAGGAUCACUAUUUCAAUGAAAAGUUGAGCGUUUAUAACCCGUAUGUUUUUUUUCUAUUCUCCAACUCAGGAUCUUCAUUCAUAUAGCAUCCCUCCAGUGACUGCACAAAGCCCAGGGAGAUCGAGGAAGCUCCUAGCGGCUCCAUGAGUCUCGU